rnacentral:rRNA from 1 species
AUGAACGCUAGCUACAGGCUUAACACAUGCAAGUCGAGGGGCAGCAUGGUCUUAGCUUGCUAAGGCCGAUGGCGACCGGCGCACGGGUGAGUAACACGUAUCCAACCUGCCGUCUACUCUUGGACAGCCUUCUGAAAGGAAGAUUAAUACAAGAUGGCAUCAUGAGUCCGCAUGUUCACAUGAUUAAAGGUAUUCCGGUAGACGAUGGGGAUGCGUUCCAUUAGAUAGUAGGCGGGGUAACGGCCCACCUAGUCUUCGAUGGAUAGGGGUUCUGAGAGGAAGGUCCCCCACAUUGGAACUGAGACACGGUCCAAACUCCUACGGGAGGCAGCAGUGAGGAAUAUUGGUCAAUGGGCGAGAGCCUGAACCAGCCAAGUAGCGUGAAGGAUGACUGCCCUAUGGGUUGUAAACUUCUUUUAUAAAGGAAUAAAGUCGGGUAUGCAUACCCGUUUGCAUGUACUUUAUGAAUAAGGAUCGGCUAACUCCGUGCCAGCAGCCGCGGUAAUACGGAGGAUCCGAGCGUUAUCCGGAUUUAUUGGGUUUAAAGGGAGCGUAGAUGGAUGUUUAAGUCAGUUGUGAAAGUUUGCGGCUCAACCGUAAAAUUGCAGUUGAUACUGGAUAUCUUGAGUGCAGUUGAGGCAGGCGGAAUUCGUGGUGUAGCGGUGAAAUGCUUAGAUAUCACGAAGAACUCCGAUUGCGAAGGCAGCCUGCUAAGCUGCAACUGACAUUGAGGCUCGAAAGUGUGGGUAUCAAACAGGAUUAGAUACCCUGGUAGUCCACACGGUAAACGAUGAAUACUCGCUGUUUGCGAUAUACAGCAAGCGGCCAAGCGAAAGCGUUAAGUAUUCCACCUGGGGAGUACGCCGGCAACGGUGAAACUCAAAGGAAUUGACGGGGGCCCGCACAAGCGGAGGAACAUGUGGUUUAAUUCGAUGAUACGCGAGGAACCUUACCCGGGCUUAAAUUGCAGAUGAAUUACGGUGAAAGCCGUAAGCCGCAAGGCAUCUGUGAAGGUGCUGCAUGGUUGUCGUCAGCUCGUGCCGUGAGGUGUCGGCUUAAGUGCCAUAACGAGCGCAACCCUUGUUGUCAGUUACUAACAGGUUCUGCUGAGGACUCUGACGAGACUGCCAUCGUAAGAUGUGAGGAAGGUGGGGAUGACGUCAAAUCAGCACGGCCCUUACGUCCGGGGCUACACACGUGUUACAAUGGGGGGUACAGAGGGCCGCUACCACGCGAGUGGAUGCCAAUCCCCAAAACCUCUCUCAGUUCGGACUGGAGUCUGCAACCCGACUCCACGAAGCUGGAUUCGCUAGUAAUCGCGCAUCAGCCACGGCGCGGUGAAUACGUUCCCGGGCCUUGUACACACCGCCCGUCAAGCCAUGGGAGCCGGGGGUACCUGAAGUGCGUAACCGCGAGGAGCGCCCUAGGGUAAAACUGGUGACUGGGGCU